ensembl:rRNA 5S_rRNA 5S ribosomal RNA
GUCUAUGGCCAUACACCCUUUAUAUGCCUAAUUUUAUCUAAUCUUCAAAGCUAAGCAGGGUUGGGCCUGGUUAGUACUUGGAUGGGAGGACAGCUACAUGAAACACUAGUAACAUGUUCU